rnacentral:rRNA from 1 species
UGGGGAAUAUUGGACAAUGGGCGCAAGCCUGAUCCAGCAAUGCCGCGUGUGUGAAGAAGGCCUUCGGGUUGUAAAGCACUUUUAUCAGGAGCGAAACGCUGUCGGCUAAUACCCGGCGGAACUGACGGUACCUGAGGAAUAAGCACCGGCUAACUUCGUGCCAGCAGCCGCGGUAAUACGAAGGGUGCAAGCGUUAAUCGGAAUUACUGGGCGUAAAGCGUGCGUAGGCGGUUUCUUAAGUCUGCUGUGAAAUCCCCGGGCUCAACCUGGGAAUGGCAGUGGAUACUGGGAGGCUAGAGUGUGUCAGAGGGUGGUGGAAUUCCCGGUGUAGCGGUGAAAUGCGUAGAGAUCGGGAGGAACAUCAGUGGCGAAGGCGGCCACCUGGGACAACACUGACGCUGAGGCACGAAAGCGUGGGGAGCAAACAGGAUUAGAUACCCUGGUAGUCCACGCCCUAAACGAUGCGACUGGAUGUUGGUCUCAACUCGGAGAUCAGUGUCGAAGCUAACGCGUUAAGUUCGCCGCCUGGGGAGUACGGUCGCAAGACUGAAACUCAAAUGAAUU